UUUCAUGAAGAAAUUUUCUGAAUAAGUGUCCAAUUUAACUUUUAGGACUAAAUUGCAAAAGUUGCAAAAUAUGAGAUUCUAGAAGCUUUAAGUAUGAAAUAGCUUUGAAUUAUUAAUUAGAGGGCCUUAAAUGGAAAUUUGACCAAUUUUCAUAUUUUUGGACAAAAAUGGACAUGAAUAGGAAAAUUUUGAAAGAAAUGCCUUAAGGGCAUUUUUGUCAUUUGGUUAAUAAAAGAAUAAAAAGGGAAAAUAAGUCAAAAAUUGUGUCCAUCUUCCUCCCUCAUUGCCGAAAUUUCCAAGGAGCCAUAGCUAAAGUUUUGUUCAUCC
rnacentral:lncRNA from 1 species